rnacentral:rRNA from 1 species
AUUGAACGCUGGCGGCGUGCCUUACACAUGCAAGUCGAACGGUAACGCGGGGCAACCUGGCGACGAGUGGCGAACGGGUGAGUAAUACAUCGGAACGUGCCCAGUAGUGGGGGAUAGCCCGGCGAAAGCCGGAUUAAUACCGCAUACGACCUACGGGUGAAAGGGGGGGAUCGCAAGACCUCUCGCUAUUGGAGCGGCCGAUGUCAGAUUAGGUAGUUGGUGGGGUAAAAGCCUACCAAGCCGACGAUCUGUAGCUGGUCUGAGAGGACGACCAGCCACACUGGGACUGAGACACGGCCCAGACUCCUACGGGAGGCAGCAGUGGGGAAUUUUGGACAAUGGGCGCAAGCCUGAUCCAGCCAUGCCGCGUGCGGGAAGAAGGCCUUCGGGUUGUAAACCGCUUUUGUCAGGGAAGAAACGCUCUGGGCUAAUACCCCGGAGUAAUGACGGUACCUGAAGAAUAAGCACCGGCUAACUACGUGCCAGCCGCCGCAGUAACAC